GCAGACACAUUCCAGCCAAUCAGCAGCAGACCCUCCCUCCCAGGCCCUCCCACCUCCUGGACAGCAUCCAUUUUGAAGCUGCAUUCUUAGUGAGCUGUCCAGGAGGUGGGAGGGUCUGGGAGGGAGGGUCUGCUGCUGAUUGGCUGGAAUGUGUCUG